rnacentral:rRNA from 1 species
AUUGAACGCUGGCGGCAGGCUUAACACAUGCAAGUCGAGCGGGGUGAUGGUGCUUGCACUAUCACUUAGCGGCGGACGGGUGAGUAAUGCUUAGGAAUCUGCCUAUUAGUGGGGGACAACAUCUAGAAAGGGAUGCUAAUACCGCAUACGUCCUACGGGAGAAAGCAGGGGAUCACUUGUGACCUUGCGCUAAUAGAUGAGCCUAAGUCGUAUUAGCUAGUUGGUGGGGUAAAGGCCUACCAAGGCGACGAUCUGUAACGGGUAUGAGAGGAUGAUCCGCCACCCUGGGACUGAAACACGGCCCAGACUCCUACGGGAGGCAGCAGUAGGGAAUAUUCGACAAUGGGGGCAACCCUGAUCCAGCCAUGCCGAGUGUGUGAAGAAGACCUUAUGGUUGUAAAGCACUUUAAGCGAGGAGGAGGCUCUUUUGGUUAAUACCCAAGAUGAGUGGACGUUACUCGCAGAAUAAGCACCGGCUAACUCUGUGCCAGCAGCCGCAGUAAUAC